AAGGUUUUUGAUUCUUGUAUCACAAUUUUUUACAUAUAUCACAUAAUUAUCAAACAGUACAAGUUGAAAGUAGUGCAUACAUGCUUUCGAGGUGUAAUCAGUACACUGUAGAUGAUGUAAUCAUCAAUCUUGUUCUUGAGCGCUAAUGAGAAAGGCUGAGAUCGACUGAAUUCUCUUCCUCCCCCACUUUGUUCAUCUCCUUCUGAUCUCUUCUUUCUUCCUCUUUCAAAGCACUCGAUGCUGUGUCCACCACGGUACCGGGUUUCUCCCAGCCCUUGAAGUCCUCCAACUUGAAGGUCGGUCGCCAUAGCGGCGACGCAGCCUUCUUCUGCCGCUUGCUUUCAUCUGUUCUGAUGAGAUCUCUCAUGGCUCUGAUGCUUCCAACCAACGAAUAAAACUUCUCCAUCUCUUGUUGUUGCUCAUCUGCUUCAGUAGUAGUUGAGGUUGGAGUCGGUGAUGUGGCUGGCGAUGGCCUCUUUCUUCUGCCACUUCCUUUCUCCAUUGCCUCGACUAAGAAAUCUAAAGAUCAGGGGAAGAAAGGGUUGUUGUUGGAAUGCUCUAUCUCUUCGUAGGACUAAGGAUGGAUAGUGGAAGCAGUGAACAUAUAAAAGAGAGGCCACUUCCAGAAUUCCAAGCAAGUAGAAGCUCCGAAAAAGAAAGGCUGGCUCUCAAUUCUUUCCAUGGAUCUACCAAGUGCUGUGCUGCUUUCUACAUGUAAUGUGGACUUCUGGUGAUUGGAACUUUUUGUCCAACAAGGUUGUAUUCAUUUCUUUCUUGGCUUCAAUUUGUUCCUGUAGUUGGAUGCCUGGUCCUUGUAAAGGGACCAGGUUAAUAGUGCUAUCGAAACCUCUAUCUUAUUAAAACUAUCUAACCAA